rnacentral:rRNA from 1 species
UACGAAGGGGGCUAGCGUUGCUCGGAAUUACUGGGCGUAAAGGGCGCGUAGGCGGACAGUUAAGUCAGAGGUGAAAGCCCAGGGCUCAACCCUGGAAUUGCCUUUGAGACUGAGUGGCUUGAGUACGAGAGAGGUGAGUGGAAUUCCCAGUGUAGAGGUGAAAUUCGUAGAUAUUGGGAAGAACACCGGUGGCGAAGGCGGCUCACUGGCUCGUAACUGACGCUCAUGCACGACAGCGUGGGGAUCAAACAGG